rnacentral:rRNA from 1 species
UACGUAGGUGGCAAGCGUUGUCCGGAAUUACUGGGUGUAAAGCGCGUGUAGGCGGGAGGCCAAGUCUGCUGUGAAAUCGCCCGGCUCAACUGGGCGGGGUCGGUGGAAACUGGUCACCUGGAGGACGGUAGAGGCGAGUGGAAUUCCCGGUGUAGUGGUGAAAUGCGUAGAGAUCGGGAGGAACACCAGUGGCGAAGGCGGCUCGCUGGGCCGGCCCUGACGCUGAGACGCGAAGGCGUGGGGAGCGAACGGGAUUGAGAAA